rnacentral:lncRNA from 1 species
CUCCUUUUAUUUUUGUUUAUAUAUAUAUAUAUAUAUUUCUUUUUUUCUUUUUAGCAUGAUAGAGUUGUCACAGUUCAUUGUUUUCUUCUUAAACAACAUGACCUUUGGUGUGGAUGGAGCAUAUGGUGAGGUUCGCACCAUCAUCCCUCAUACUUGGACUUUUGUGUAAAAGUCAAGUGUGUCAUGUCGGGGUUUCUUUUUCAAGCAUGUUUCAUUACCAAAGAUCAUCAAGAUAUGUAGUUGAUGUAGCUUCCAUCUAUUCAAGCACCAUAUGUACCCCGUUCCUUUCAAUCUUAACCUGGAAUAGUUAGCGACCAAAAAUACCCGAUGAUGCAUACUAACAUGACACAUGUUCUUUCUUUUAUUUCCUUUUGUCUUGCAGCUACUUGUGAUGGUUUAGUUCCUAGCUUCACCACCAAACACUUAGCAUUAUGGGAGCCUCCAUGGGUAGGUCGGCCAACCUACCUAUGGUAGCUGGGCCGCACCACUUCCUUCUAGAAGGUUUCCCCACAUGUCAUGGAGUGUGUUUGCAGCUUCAGUCACGUUGGAUGCUUUGUUAUGGGCCCAUGAAUUUGUGUGACUUCGUUUUCCACCCUUGAGAGAAAACAUAAUUGUGAUCCAAGGGUGGGGAAUGGCUCUGGGGUACUUCACAUGGAUCAUGCCAUGUUGGUAUAUAUGGCCUGGUGAUUCCAUUAGCAGGUUGGGCAACUUGCAUAUGGAGGCUCCUUGGGCUGAUUUUCUCUAGUUUGGUCAUAACCUACGUACACAAGCCAAAACUACAAGUGGAACUUCUUAUUAUCAAAAUAUGUUUCAUGGCAUGCAAUUCUUCCUUUGAACUAAGGCUAUUUAUGGUGUUUUG